rnacentral:rRNA from 1 species
GACGAACGCUGGCGGCGUGCUUAACACAUGCAAGUCGAACGAUGAAGCCGGAGCUUGCUCUGGUGAAUUAGUGGCGAACGGGUGAGUAACACGUGAGUAACCUGCCCUUGACUCUGGGAUAACUGCGGGAAACUGUAGCUAAUACCGGAUACGACCCUCGGAGGCAUCUCCUGGGGGUGGAAAGAAUUUCGGUCAAGGAUGGACUCGCGGCCUAUCAGCUAGUGGGUGAGGUAAAGGCUCACCAAGGCGACGACGGGUAGCCGGCCUGAGAGGGGGGCCGGCCAGACUGGGGCUGGGACACGGCCCAGACUCCGACGGGAGGCAGCAGUGGGGAAUAUUGUACAAUGGGCUCAAGCCUGAUGCAGCAACGCCGCGGGAGGGAUGACGGCCUUCGGGUUGUAAACCUCUUUUAGCAGGGAAGAAGCGAAAGUGACGGUACCUGCAGAAAAAGCACCGGCUAACUACGUGCCAGCCGCCGCCGUAA